CUACGGGCGGCUGCAGUGAGGAAUAUUGCACAAUGGGGGGAACCCUGAUACAGCAACGCCGCGUGGAGGAUGACGCAUUUCGGUGUGUAAACUCCUUUUAUAUGUCAAGAAAAUGACGGUAGCAUAUGAAUAAGCACCGGCUAACUCCGUGCCAGCAGCCGCGGUAAUACGGAGGGUGCAAGCGUUACUCGGAAUCACUGGGGUAAAGGACGCGUAGGCGGGUUGGAAAGUCAGGUGUGAAAUCCUACAGCUUAACUGUAGAACUGCACUUGAAACUUCUAAUCUAGAGUAUGGGAGGGGGAGAUGGAAUUAGUGGUGUAGGGGUAAAUCCGUAGAUAUCACUAGGAAUACCUAAAGCGAAGGCGAUCUCCUGGAACAUUACUGACGCUAAGGCGUGAAAGCGUGGGGAGCAAACAGGAUUAGAUACCCUCGUAGUC
rnacentral:rRNA from 1 species